rnacentral:misc_RNA from 1 species
GAUGAAGAACGCAGCGAAAUGCGAUAAGUAAUGUGAAUUGCAGAAUUCAGUGAAUCAUCGAAUCUUUGAACGCGCAUUGCGCCCGCCAGUAUUCUGGCGGGCAUGCCUGUUCGAGCGUCAUUUCAACCAUCAAGCCCCCGGCUUGUGUUGGGGACCUGCGGCUGCCGCAGGCCCUGAAAACCAGUGGCGGGCUCGCUGUCACACCGAGCGUAGUAGAUUUUCAUCUCGCUCAGGGCGUGCUGCGGGUUCCGGCCGUAAAAAGCCUUAUUUACCCAAGGUUGACCUCGGAUCAGGUAGGAAGACCCGCUGAACUUAAGCAUAUCAAUAAGCGGAGGA